AAAGCAUUAUCCUCUGAAAAAGAACCGAAUGCAAAAUAGGGAAGAGGCGUGUCAAGGUGGAGAGCUCUGAUUGGCCAAGACCCUUUCCUACCUGGUCUUGAAUACACUCGCUCUGUUUAGUUCAUCUCAGAAGCUCCUGACAGCGGUUCUUACUGCCAGUGCUUGCAGUUUUUCAGUUUCAUUUUGAAGGUGUUAGAAAAAAUAUCUACUACAAAGCAUUAUCCUCUGAAAAAGAACCGAAUGCAAAAUAUAGAAGAGGUGUGUCAAGGUGGAGAGCUCUGAUUGGCUAAGACCCUUUCUUGCCUGGUCUUGAACACUCUCGCUCUGUUUAGUUCAUCUCAGAAGCUCCUGACAGUGGUGCUUACUGCCAGUGCUUGGAGUUUUUCAGUUUCAUUUUGAAGAAUGUUGAGGAGACCUCCGCGCUCCGCACUCGAUGUGGCAAUUCAUCGCAAAGAUUUAAAUACCGAAAAAGUUUGGAGUUUUCGAAAAACCUAGGAAUUAAACGCUCCUCUGCUCUGCCAUAGGUUGAUAACAAGACUGAUAACAGAACCGAGGUGGCAUCUAAUCGUACCCAGCGUCAAAUGCCAGAGGUUAAAAACCUAACGAAGCCAAGAGCGGAUUACGAGUCUGCGCAAGAUGGCUACAUCUUCAGACUGUUGUGUAAUUGUGCAGAAUGGCGAGGUGGUGUUCUAGUUGUGGUGUAGUCACUGAAGAUAUUUCUACAGAGCUAAGGCGAUACAGAAGGUAAUGCACGGAACACUAGAGCAUAGGAGAAAUGGGCAUGUCUUGAGAGGCCGACCGAGCUACUACGGAGGUGGGAGAGGAAUGAGAGCUGUACUAUUUUGAAGCUAUCCACAUGGCUAGGAGGAUACUGAAGCUAAAUCACAGACAGUAAUGGAAGAAAGUUGUGGACAAGUGUUGUGGAGACCGAUCGAACUAAUACAGAGGUGUAAGCGGGGCAUCAGCUAUAUUUAACUGCAGUGCAAUAGUGCAGUGUGUAAAAAUGUACUGUUUAAGCGAAGCUAUCCACAUGGUUUAGAGGUUACAGAAGAAGAAAUAAAGCAGGAUUGUGGAGGUUGGAGUGGUUAAAGGAAGCAAGAAAUUUCAUCUCUCUCAAUUUGAGAGCAACUUGGGGUUGUAAAUAUUAUCAACCAUUUUUAAGUUAUACAAUAUAUUCCAGGUUUAUUGAAAUUCCAUGUUUACACUUAUACUAUUCAUCAAAAUGACCUUAGAAGGCCAGUAAAAAAUAU